UCAAGAUCUUAAAUAAAGUUACUUGAGUACUACGAAUAACGGGUUAUAAGUUUCUCGUAGUUAAUUUAAAACUCAAAAGGCUUGGCGGUGUCCUAGACCACUUAGGGGAACCUGUCUCUUAAUCGAUAGUCCACGAAGAACCUAACUUCGCUUAGUAUAGUAUGUAUACCGUCGUCGGCAGGUAACUUUUAAAAAAAUAGAAGUUAGCGAAUGUAAAGAUUUUAUUUUUGAUGUCAGAUCAAGGUGCAGCUUAUAGUGAAGUGAGGAUGGGUUACAAUUAAUUAAUAAUUUUUAAUUACGAAUGAAUAAAUGAAAGUUUUUACUGAAGGCGGACUUAAAAGUAAGAAAUGAAAUUAUGUAGAUUUUCUGAAUUUGGCUCUGGGACGUGCACACAUCGCCCGUCGCUCUCGUUGAAAAGUGAGAUAAGUCGUAACAUAGUAGAGGUAACGGAAGUUGUCUCUGGAUGA
rnacentral:rRNA from 1 species